AGCCAAUGGAAGUAGAAAUAUGGGAUAGGAGGCGGGUCUUCUUGGUCUCCAGGCAAUCCUUGGUGACCCCUGUGAACCUCUGUGUAGUCCUAGCAAUACCAGAGCCACCUGCCCUACUGGUCAUGUUUAAGGUGGUUGAAUAAAUGGCUCAUCAAAGCAGUGAUGUGAGCUCAGAAAAUGAAGCAGCCAACGACCACUUUUGCUUAGCACUCAUAGCCCUCCUCUGCUGCUGCCCACUAGGCCUUCCAUCAAUAAUCUGUUCUUACUGGACGAUGCGCUACAAUCAAGCCAAAGAAUAUGACAAGGCAUCCAAGACCUCUAUUAUAACCCUCUGCUUGUCCAUCAUAGGCAUUUUUUUGUCCGUAUUACCAUUCAUCAUUUUUAUCUUCCUAUCAUUGCUGAUAAGGUGACCUCAUUCUUGCCUCAUGAACAAACCACCAAAUACAUGCAACAAUGUAACUAAACACUGUGUUUUAAUCA